GGCGAGAAGCCGAGGAGCGAGGGUGCGGGAAGGAAGGGAAAAGGAACGGGAGAAGGGAACGGAAGUGAGUGACGGCAGGAGGGGACGUGAGGACGGGAGAAAGGAGGCGAAGGGAGGAGAGGUGGCGAUGGGGUGAAAGAGGAGGAGGUGAGGAGCAAGAGAGGCACUGAGGGUGUGCGCGUGGAGGUGAUGCGGGAGGAGAAGAGGAGGAAGGAGAGGAGUUCGGAGGAGAGGAAGGAAAGAAGGGAAAAGAAGAUUGGAGAGAAGAGAACCGGGGGAAGCUCGAAUGCACCCUCUCGAUUCCUGUCAACAGGGUGCUGGGGCUCCGGGCAGAAGUACCAUUUGGUUGGGGCCUCAGAUUCAGGAAAAACCUCAGCUGUAGGCUUUGGAGAGUCUCUCCAAGGAGAUGGGUUCCAGGUGGGCCUUCUGCGCGUCAUCCUCCUCCAAGUUGAAGGCCUGUACAGGUGCGGCUGGUUGGCACAGCCAAAGC
rnacentral:lncRNA from 1 species